AGGUGAUUCUGGUACAAGAAAAAGGAGUUAAAACUAUAGGAAAACUUUUAAUUUGGAAGGUACCUCCAAAUAGAGCGGCUUUCAUUUGAAUUUGGAAAAGUAAUUGGUUUUGCAUCAACUACGCCACACGAUUGGCUUAAAAACUCGCGCCAUUUUUUCGUCCAAUCAGAAGUAAAACCAGAAACAGUCGUUACUCACGCACAUACAUUUUCCCGCCCUUUACGCCAGCUACAUGUGAUUACUUCGAGUUUUGAUUCGUUCCCUGUAUUGUAUGUGUUCUUUGUGACUGGCCAGAGUGAUUGCUUUGGUUUUGUUUUUAUGACACUCAGUUGAAAACCGCUCUAACGGAUGGUUACAAAUAUGUGCAAUACCUGUAAACUAACUUGUGUGCUGCCGCAGCUCUAGACUCUUUGUCUGGGCUGUCUAAACCCACCCUUUAGCUAAGCGCAUCUAAUUUUAUUCAUCUUAUCCAAAAAUGUUAAUAAAAGAUAGCAGUGAAGUUCAAUGCAGUUCGAAUAAAACCGUGCUCUAUCAUCGUUUUUGUUCGGUAGACCAUUUUUGCCUUUGUUCAAUUUAGUUCUUGGAAAGAGCUUAGGUCCAUGUGUUCAGUUUUAAGUGUUAUCCUUUUUCUUUGUCUCUUUUCUGUUUUCAUUGCUGUAGGACUUUGGUUCGAUCUUUUCUACUCUCCUCCCUGGGACCACAGCCAAGCUGGCGCCUCCUGAAGGACAAACGGAACUCGACGGCCUGGAAGUGAAAGUUGCUUUCGGCAAUGUAUGGAAAGAGAGUCUAAGCGAACUUAGUGGUGGUCAAAGGUCUCUGGUCGCUUUGUCCCUCAUCCUUUCUAUGCUGCUGUUUAAACCAGCUCCACUGUAUAUCCUCGAUGAAGUAGACGCCGCUCUGGAUCUGUCUCACACCCAAAACAUCGGCCAAAUGCUCAGAGCCCAUUUCAAACACUCCCAGUUCAUUGUAGUGUCUCUAAAAGACGGCAUGUUUAACAAUGCCAACGUGCUCUUCAAAACCAAAUUUGUCGACGGAGUCUCCACCGUCACGCGAUAUGCUCAGUCCCAGCCCACUCGAGACGGAGAUGGAGGCGGGGCAAUUGGGCGGGGCGGGAAAAGCACUGUAAAGAAAAACCCCAACAAGAGAUUGAGGGCUGACGCCCCCUCCCAGCCUCUCACGCCAUCGCAAGGUUAAAAAGGGUUGGGCUCUAAAAAGUAGUCAUCAUGGUAUCAUGUUCCCAGAGAACGCGUUAUCACUUUAUCUUAUCGUGUACAAUAUUAAACUCCCAAGGUACAAGGUUAUUAUAGAAAAUCCAUACUAGAACAAAAUCACGAGGAUUCCAAUACCUCGUACUCAUGUAUAUAUUCAGCAAUUGUUGUUCCCCGAUGUUUUUGUGUUCCUGUACAAUUAAAACCAUCUUUGUUCUAUCGCAA